rnacentral:rRNA from 1 species
AUUGAACGCUGGCGGCAUGCUUUACACAUGCAAGUCGAACGGUAACAGGCCGCAAGGUGCUGACGAGUGGCGAACGGGUGAGUAAUGCAUCGGAACGUGCCCAGUCGUGGGGGAUAACUACUCGAAAGAGUAGCUAAUACCGCAUACGAUCUAUGGAUGAAAGCGGGGGACCGUAAGGCCUCGCGCGAUUGGAGCGGCCGAUGUCAGAUUAGGUAGUUGGUGGGGUAAAGGCUCACCAAGCCAACGAUCUGUAGCUGGUCUGAGAGGACGACCAGCCACACUGGGACUGAGACACGGCCCAGACUCCUACGGGAGGCAGCAGUGGGGAAUUUUGGACAAUGGGCGCAAGCCUGAUCCAGCAAUGCCGCGUGCAGGAAGAAGGCCUUCGGGUUGUAAACUGCUUUUGUACGGAACGAAACGGCUCUGGUUAAUACCCGGGGCUAAUGACGGUACCGUAAGAAUAAACACCGGCUAACUACGU